CACUCAUCACGAGCGAGGGAGGGAACAGGCCCGGCGAACUCGCGGCAACCUCCGGUUUUCCGGCACGGUGCCAAGUCCUGCAGAGGUCGCCUCUGGGAGAUGAGUG
rnacentral:ncRNA from 2 species